rnacentral:rRNA from 1 species
CAGUAGCCGCGGGAAUACGAAGGGUGCAAGCGUUACUCGGAAUUACUGGGCGUAAAGCGUGCGUAGGUGGUGGUUUAAGUCCGUUGUGAAAGCCCUGGGCUCAACCUGGGAAUUGCAGUGGAUACUGGAUCACUAGAGUGUGGUAGAGGAUAGUGGAAUUUCCGGUGUAGCAGUGAAAUGCGUAGAGAUCGGAAGGAACAUCUGUGGCGAAGGCGACUAUCUGGGCCAACACUGACACUGAGGCACGAAAGCGUGGGGAGCAAACAGGAUUAGAUACCCCAGUAGUCCCUGUCUCUUAUAC